rnacentral:rRNA from 1 species
ACCGGAAGAGGGCGUUCGGGCUGAGCUUGCGCAGGAUAGGUGGGAGGCGAAGAAAGUUUCCUCGUGGGGAAACUGGAGCCAUCGGUGAGAUACCACUCUGGUUCAGCUAGAAUUCUAACCUUCACCCGUAAACCGGGGAAGGGACAGCUGCAGGCGGGCAGUUUGACUGGGGCGGUCGCCUCCAAAAAGGUAACGGAGGCGCGCAACGGUUCCCUCAGGCUGGUUGGAAAUCAGCCGCAGAGUGCAAAGGCAGAAGGGAGCUUGACUGUAACACCAACAAGUGGAGCAGGGACGAAAGUCGGCCUUAGUGAUCCGACGGCGCUGCGUGGAAAGGCCUCGUCUUACAGGUACC